UUGACCUCAGAUCAGGCAGGACCACCGCCUGAACUUAAGCAUAUCAAUAAGGCGAGGAACAGAAACCAACAGGGAUUCCCCUAGUAGUGGCGAACGAAGCGGGAUAAGCUCAAGUUUGAAAUCUGGCGGGAAACCUCCAGAGUUGUAAGCUGAAGAGGCAUUGACCGACGCGGUCCGGGCUCAAUUUCCUUGGAACAGGAGGUCAUGGAGGGUGAGAACCCCGUCUAUGGCCCGAGCGCCGUCGUCCUAGCGUCUUGUCUUCAAAGAGUCGGGUUGUUUGGGAAUGCAGCUCAAAAUGGGUGGUAAAUUCCAUCUAAAGCUAAAUAUUGGCGAGAGACCGAUAGCGAACAAGUAGAGUGAUCGAAAGAUGAAAAGUACUUUGAAAAGAGAGUGAAACAGUACGUGAAAUUGUUGAAAGGGAAGCGUUUGGCAUCAGCCCAUGGCCUCCGUCGAUCACCCGAGCCACCGCUCGGUGCACUCGUCGGGGGUCGGGCCAGCGUCGGCUCCGUUUGCCGGAGAAAGGCCCAGGGCAUGUGACUCCCUUCGGGGAGAGUUAUAGCCCUGAGCGUCAUGCGGCACGACGGGGCCGAGGUCCGCGGUCUAACCUAGACG
rnacentral:rRNA from 1 species